CGGGGUGUAGCGCAGUUGGCUAGCGCGCAGCGUUCGGGUCGCUGAGGUCGUGGGUUUGCCGCCAAUACAU
rnacentral:tRNA from 1 species